GAUGAACGCUAGCGGCAGGCCUAAUACAUGCAAGUCGAGGGGCAGCGCAGUGUAGCAAUACAUGGGCGGCGAUCGGCAAACGGGUGCGGAACACGUACGCAACCUUCCUUCAAGUGGGGGAUAGCCCAGAGAAAUUUGGAUUAAUACCCCGUAAGAUGGUGGUCUGGCAUCAGACAGCCAUUAAAGCUGAGGCGCUUGAAGAUGGGCGUGCGUCUGAUUAGGUAGUUGGUGAGGUAACGGCUCACCAAGCCGACGAUCAGUAACUGGCGUGAGAGCGCGACCAGUCACACGGGCACUGGGACACGGGCCCGACUCCUACGGGAGGCAGCAGUAAGGAAUAUUGGUCAAUGGACGCAAGUCUGAACCAGCCAUGCCGCGUGAAGGAUGAAGGUCCUCUGGAUUGUAAACUUCUUUUAUGUGGGAAGAAACCACCUUUUUCUAAGGGUGUUGACGGUACCAUAGGAAUAAGCACCGGCUAACUCCGUGCCAGCCGCCGCCGUAAAAC
rnacentral:rRNA from 1 species